UACGCUUUCCAGGUGGCCACUCGGAUUAAGGAGGUUACGGAAGGCAGAGCUCCUGGAGGAUGUAUCUAUUACCCUAAUGAAUGGUUAGAGUCACUUUUGUGAUUCAUUUUGCCACCAACACGCAAAAAGCCCUCGCGCUGUGUCACUCCCGAGGUGGCGGCUUGGUGUGUAAGCUCCGUAUUAGGGCUGACUCGAGAUAAAGAGCAGUGUUUGUCCUGGAGGAAUUUGUAACCGACUUCUGUUCUCACAGCCCUAAUACUCAAAGACCUGCUCCAUGUUCCCCGGAGCCCCGGUGCCACCUGCCCUGGAGACACUGGCCACCGCAGCCCUCGCUUCCCCAGCCCAGCCGGCCCGCGGGGCUGUGACCUCCAUUUCCAGAGAUUAACCCUGCGAACUGCUGGCGAGCCGCAUGUGUGGGGAGAUAAAGGCGAGCGAGCAACGGUCGUGAUUUCUCCUCUGGUCCGGGAAUCCCUCCUGCCGCGCCACGACGCUUCCGAGGCCAAAAUUCACGCUUUGAUUUCGUGGUGUUUCUGCUUCCUUCGCUUCUUGGCCUGAACCUGCCAAAGAAAACUGCUUCUCCCGUGGCCGGAGCUGCGCCCAGGCUGUUCGGGAUCAGCUGGGGCUGGGGAACCUGCGGAAACCGGCGCUCGGUAACCGGGAAGGGAAGGCAGGACCAGCACGGAAAAGAGACAACCUGCCCAUGAACCACAUUGCGUAGCUGUGCCAGCGGGACCCCCGUGCGCCGGGGAGGAUAAGAGGAAAUAUUGGACAUUAUUAGGCAAAUCUGCUGCUUUCAGGAGAAAUGCACUGAAAUCUUAGAAACUGCAAAUUUAACAGCUGCCCGUCCUCCUCCUCCUGCGCUCACCGGGGUCGCCCGCGCUGGUUCCUUUGGGGAAGCCGGUGUCGUUUCUUGAAGCAACAUCCGCGCGUCAGUGUGUGGCCUCGUUAUUCUCUUUGUUCUGGUUAUUAUGUGGUUCCUUUUCUCCUCAAACACCCCACGGGGUGCUGUGCUCGCGGGUGACACUGGGAGAGCUGAGCACCCGCCUCUCCUGUUCUGCAGCCAGCAACGCCGUGCGUGUGGCAAUCGCAGUGACCAGGGGGCAGCUUGGCGUUGGGGACACCCCGGUGACUGCGCCCGGCCCACCAGCUCCUCCCCGGCCCAGCGGAACAAGCGUUCCGUGGUUCUCCCUCCCAGGCGUUUCUGCAAACGUCACCCGCUGCCAGCGCGGCGGAUCCUGCGGAUGGGCCGCCUGGCGAGGGACACACCGCUGCCUUUGCUUUCCCUUGAAUCACCGAGCACGGCAGCCGCGGCCUCGGUGUCCUCAUUUCAACGAAGGGCUGACGAGCGCCCAGGGCUCAGUGUCCCCAGAGCGUCACUGCCCGUGCAGCGGCUUCUUUCAAGUUGCUCCAAGAGCAGAUGAUGAAGGGAACCAGGUGCAUCUGAGACUGCCCAGCGCUGUGCCGUGGGGGUCCAGCGCCUUGGAAAAGGGCAGAGCAGGAAGGGAAGAGCCCAUCCAGGGGCAGCAGAACAUCCUGUAUCUCGGGCACAGUGAGAGGAGACAAACGCCUUUCGAGGCUGCGUGGGGUUGUUCGGCUGGUGGUGAUUGGCAUCUGCUUUGGACAUGAAAAACAUGGUGGUAACUGUCACACAGACACGGAACAAUGAGCAGGCGGCCGCCUGCUGCCUCCUCGGCUGCGACGGGAGAAGUCGCCCCUGCUAACGCUAGCGAGGGUUUCAGAUUCCUGCCUGCGGUUCGUCCCUGCAGCGAGCAAAACCCACUGAAAAGCCUCUGAGAUUAAGCCAUCGCUCUGGUGCGGAUUGCGGAGGGGCCUCCAUGUCGCCACAAGGAGACCCGGACGUGGUGGUUCCUGCCCAGAGCGACGUGUCAGACAGGAGGGGACCAGGGACGUUCAACAGUCACCCGGUGUCGCAGCAGGGCCUCCAGGCCUCGGGCUCGCCUGCUUUCCAAACUGCAUUUGCAAGUGGUUGUGAUAUAAGGAGGGAAAUAAAAUCAUGUGGUCCGUGGAAAAAUUCAAAGGCAAACCCCGUACGUUCAAUGCAGUUUAUUGAAGGCGCAGUGAGAAGCUGGGACAUUUGAGCAGUGAGUGAAGCUCCGUUCACGUGAGUACAAGAUGUCACUGGAAGAUUUGUGCACCAGUGACUUCCCUUGGUGUUUUGGGGGGAAUGGGGGAGCCAAGCUCUUCUAACAAUCAGCGCGCUUUGAACAAGCCACCCCUAACAUGCAAAGCAAAUGAAAAUGCUACAUAUUCAUCUGUAAGCAAAUGGCUGCAGCGUAACUAGCAGGUGCUCUGCAGGUUGAAAUCGCCGUGUUUAACGUUUCAGCUCAAAUUUGCAGCUCAGGGUUUUUCUUUGACAAAAACAGAAAGAAAGAAAAACAAAGCAGCAGGGAGCGUAGUGUGCUCUUUGCAGUGACACCGUUGCGCUCUGUUCUGAAAUGCUCUGGGAAGAGAAAGAGGUGUCUCGCGAGGAAGGACGCUGUUCAUGAAUCUGCUGGGUAUGGGAAAGGCCGGAGAGCGCGGUGCGACAAGCAAACCCUAAACACUGAGAUAGUCUGGACAGGAGAGUUCUAGAACACUGAGCUGAGCACCUGCUGGAGAAGCUUGCUGGAUGUGUCCUUAGGGUGGGGACUCUGAAACAGAACUUUUUGGGGUACAUAUCUGAUGCUAACAAAUGUGGGAGUGGGCUUGGUGACCAACGUUGCUACUAGUGGGCAGAGAAACUAUCCUGCAUCAUGUCGGCCGUAGGAAGCGCACGUCUAAGCGUUGUCCUCCGACGCUGCUGGCUGUGCCACCUCCCCAGCUGAUGGCCCUAGGGAACAACACACGGGUCUCUGACAACGCCGUAGUUCCCCACCACGCCGCCGUUGCACCCCAGCGCCUCGGGGCUGUUGGCAACCACGACGGGAGAGCCCCCCAGCUGCCUGACCACGCAGCCCUGGUUUCCGAAGCUGACCACCCCACCGGCCUGGCAAGCCCCCAUCCUACCAUUCAAGCCCCCGUUGCCCGUGCUGACGACGGUGCGGGCCGGGAACCCCCCGCUCUGGGAGCUGAAUCCCCCAGUUUUGCAGCUGACCCCUCCGGCUUGGCAAUAGACCUCUGGGACGCACUGCUUGGCCACCGAGCUAAUGACUCUUUUGGGGUGGAUCCCCGCGCUCCGGGAGCUGAAUCCUCCGUUCUGGGAGCCGUGUCUUCCCGACCGUCUCCCCAGGGAGCCGUAGCCGCACGCGGCUGCGUUGGCAGCCAGCAGCCCGCAGUCGUCGGGGAUGUUGUAGCCGCUGCUGACCACAGCUGCAAGACAGCCCACAGGGUUCGUUAGUUAGGGAGGAAAGCUGGAGGACUCUCACCAGGCAAGUUGUUUCAUGAGCGACAGAACCGACCCAGCCUGAUUUCCUCUGGGUUUGUCCAACGUAUCGGAGCCCCCGCUCCUUCCAGCUCCUCCGUGUCCCAACACAUCCCCUCCCAGGCCCUCCCGGCUCCCACGAUGAUGCUCUGGGGACGUUCUUCCCAGGUUCGGUGCCUGCUGAGCCUGCCAGGACAGCUCACUAUUGCCUCCAGGAGCAUAAAAGGGUCACGAAUUCCACCUCCCCCCCUCCAUCUAAAACCUGAUUUGUUUUUGAAACUCAGAGGUGUUUGAGAUUUCUGGGUCUGAACUUUCAGCAUCGACCUGGGCUGAAAUGGCAAAGGGCAGCAGGGGCAGGCAGAAGGUGCUGCUCUGUAAACCAGAGUGGAUUUCCUAAAAUGACAACCCCUCACGUCUGAAAAUCUUCAGGUUACUUACACACGCUCACCGGGUUCCCCACACAUAUCCUGUUAGAGGAGAGAAGAGAAACACACGUUAUCCUAUUAACCAGCUGCACACACAUCUGGAAACCCGACAUUACUCAUCACUCCAGCCACACAUCCACCCCGCUUAAUCCCCUGUCGUAACACGUCUGUGUGUCCCUGGGACAGGAACGGUUUUGCUGGCACCAGGGUGGCCCGUGUGGCCUCCGGCCAUCUCUCCAGCCCGUUUCUGACAGCCCGCAGGAUCCUGGAGCUGCACAACUCACUUGGGAGCUGGAAUCAGCUAAUGUUCGGGAGACAAGGGCCAAGGUCUGUGUCACCCACCUGCUCUCUUCACCCUCCAGGAGCGUCUUGUACGUGGCGAUCUCGAUGUCCAGGGCCAGCUUGACGUUGAGCAGCUCCUGGUAGUCCCGCAGCAUGCAGGCCAGCUCGUCCUUGGCCUUCUGGAGGGCGUUCUGCAGCUCCACGUGCUUCUCCCGAGCGUCUUUCAGGGCACAGUCCCCGCGCUGCUCCACGUCACAGAUGGAGGUUUGCAGGCAGGAGACCUGUCAGCGGAGAAUGAAAGUGCACAUGUCUUCAAGGCUUCGCUUCCUAAUUCCUGGACAUCCUGGUUCCAGAUUAAUCCGCUAUUCCAAUUGCAGACAGAGAAAACAACCACAGCCGUCCCUUCUCUCUAUCCACUUUUCAACUGUACAGCCCAGAGCAGGUGUAGGGACACUGACGGCCAAUCUCAUCUUCCCCCAUACCCGAGUUGUCCUCCCAGACGCUGCCCUCCCUGGAUCGUCACCUCUCCUACCUGCUUCUUCGCGUUCUCCAGCUCACACUGCAGCUUCUGUAUCAUCCGGGUGAGCUCUGAAAUCUCGCACUUGUUGCUUUGCAGAUCGUCGCAGUAUUUGCCUCUCUUGUCCUGAAGCUCCUGAAACUGAAACCAAGGAAAGAGUCAUUGUUUUGAUCCGGUAAGCUGCCGGGCGGGCACCCAGGUCCUCCUCACCCACCCUGGUUUGGUAGAAAGCGUCAACUUCUUCUUUGCUCUUCUGAGCUAUUUCUUGGUACCAGCACUCGACGUUCUUGAUGAUGCUCUCCAUGUCCAGGUCGCGGUUGUUGUCCAUUUUGACGAUGACUGAGGUGUCGCACAGCUGCCGAUCCACCUGAGCGCGUUCCUGCGGGUUGGGGAAUGGCUUAGUCAGGCGUUAGCAAGUCUCAAGGCUUUUCAGUGGAGGAAGGGCUGGGACACAGAGCCGCACAAGUCGAGAAAUGUCCCUCAGUCGGCUCAGCAGAAAAUGCUCCCUGUCGGAUGAGUUGCCACACGUCGGCUGCUGACCGACAUGCUGACCUGCAGCAAUUCUGUCCACAUCAAGGGCAGGGAACCUGAGUGAUGAGCCCCUGCUAUCCUGUCAUCUUCAGCUGCUUUGCUGAUGCUAAUGACAGGAUUAAGCUGGGAGUUUCUGGAGCUCUAAUCAGACAACUGCAAUCCGGAGGAACGAGACGGACGCAUCUCUGUUCUCGGGGUAGAGUUAGGACACAGCCAAUUCAUCCCUGCAGCUGCAUUAACGAAGGGGGAAACACCCUAUUUCCAGCCUAAUCAUGUUAAUUUUCUAUCAGCCUUGUAGUUCCAUGCUUUCAACUAUUCAGGGCUUGGGGGGGGGAGAUGUCCCAGGGGGAUUUCAAGGAAUCGGGAGCACCUGAGGGGUGAGACGGCGCCGCCGAGCCCUGGGCCAGGCAGAGGAACCCACCUCCUCAAAGACGCAUUUCAGCAGCUCCAGCUGCCUCCUCAGCAGAUCCACCUUCACCUCCAGCUCCUCCUUGUUCAGGAAGAUGCAGUCAGCGUCCUGCAAGAGAGGAGACACGUCCAGCCCCGGCGCCCAGAGCGCGGAACCGCGGAGGAGACGGGGGCAGCGCCAGGAGCAUGGGAACGCGUCUCAAUGGAGUGCAGGAGCAGGGAGGUGUGAGACGGUGAGUCAAGGUGCCCCGGUGGCUCCUGGAGGAGAGUGGAACGUCCCACUGCGAAUUACUGGGAUUAGUUUAUUUCUUACUUGGGACAUAGCUCCAAACUCAAAACUGACUAAUGAGCAUUCCAAUUAUAUUUUUUAAUAUUGUUCAAAUGAUUUCUGCUUUUCUGAUGCCUAAAUGUGAAGGAUGUGAAUAAAUCAGCAUCUGAGAUGGCAGGUAUUGCAGUGGGACCCCGCGCACUGUCCCCCUCCCACAAAUACACCCUCCCAAUGCAAUUCAACAUGCAAGUUUUGCUGUAGCAACACAAGCUUUGGGGUUACAUUCUUUUUACUUUCUACUUGCACUUGCCUGUUUUUCUGGCCCUCUUUACAGGCAUUUGCUGAUAAUCCACUAUUUCAGCCAAGCUCUACCCCAGACAAACCUGCCCUAAGUGUAGUGGUUGGUGUAUUCGAGCCUCUCACCUUUUUGAGUGCCACAAACUCGUUCUCCACCGUCGUCCGCCUGUUGAUUUCCUCCUCAUACCUGUUGGGAAAGGCAAAGGGCUGAGCCGGGCGGUGCCAUCAGCCCCGCGGGCGCCGAGCACCAGGGAGAUGACAGCCCUGGCUCGCUCGGGGCUGCCAGACCGCAGCCGUCGGACCAUCCCCGGAGCUGAAGCCACUCGUGAACAACAACAUUAACAAUGCAACGAGCUUGCGAGCGAGACGGGAGGACGCGACGUCCCCGAAGGGGCCGCACGCCUGGGAGCGCGGGCCGGGACGAGCCCGGGGGAGGCGAAGCGCCGAAGGUCCUCACUUGCACUUGAACUCCUCCACCAGCUGGCUGGUGGCGCACUCCUCGCUGCCCAGCUUCUGCUUCUCGCAGAGCAGGCAGUCCAGGCGCUUCCGCAGGUCGCAGAUGUAGUUCUCGAAGUACAGCUCCAGGUUUUUCCCUUUCUUGGGCAGGACGUAUUGCUGCAGGAGGCCCCAUUUGGUCUCCAGCACUUUGUUCUGCUGCUCCAGGAACCGGACCUGCGGGCCAGAAAACAGCAACCCUUCCAAUAAACAGGGGAGCGCGGUAUGUCCGCUCCUGGUUUGACCGUCGUUGUGAAACUGCAGGUGUACUAAUGGGAUCUUUGGGAAGUGAGUGGUGCUAUACCACAAUCAUCAUAAAAUUGUCCACCCUUCUUUGGAAAUCUAAAAGUUACAUGUCUAAAUUAUUUAGGCAUGUAAAUGUCACAUGUCUAAAUAAUUUAGAACUUUAAAAUUCACGUAUCUAAAUAAUUUAGAACUUUAAAAUUCACAUAUCUAAAUUAUUUAGAGAUUUAAAAGUCACAUGCCUAAAUCUGCCAGUUAAUAGAAAUAAAGCUCCGCUGGAAGGUGCCUCUGAUGCUUUAGGAGGAGAUCAAGUCCCAGUGGUGGGACCUGUUUGUCUUUUUCCUACAAAGGUGGCAGCUCAGCCUCGGAUCUCUAACGCUGGGGUGCGGUCAUUGGGACGAAGCUCCUCUGCUUCAGGAGUGGGUUUGGAACAGCCGUGGUAUUUAAAGACAAAGUGGGGAAAAGGGUCUAAGGGCAGGAAGAUGAGCCCACCAGAGCCUGCACGAGAAACCCAGAGAGGAGGCGCCCGCAGGAAGGGCCACAGCUGCUGUGGCCACGGUGCAAACACCCGCGAGGGGUGGGAAUUCGGGGGGUCUCUGCGCAGGGACAGGGACGCAAUGGUCCUGUGGGUCUGUUCUAUGGUUCUGUGUAAUACUGGGACUGGCUGAAACGAGCCCUCAGCCAGCACGGUGGAUCCCACCAGCGUGGCUGUGUGGGGUCCGGACCUUUGCGCGGAGCGCGCUGGGUGAUCCCGGCACGAGCGGGGACGGGUGUGGGGGAGCUCGCUCGCAUUCGAUCUCUCAAAGGUUCGCACUCACCUUGUCGAUAAAACAGGCGAACUGGGUGUUGAGGGUCUUGAUCUGUUCCUUCUCCUGACAGCGGAUUUCGUGUUCCAGCGGGUCGACCCCGACGCACAGCGGCUUCAGCAGCCGCUCGUCGAUGCAGAUGCCCUGGAUGCCGUCGGCCUUGCGGUCGGGGUAACCCCUCACGAUGCUAAAUCCGCGGGGGCCGCAGAGGCCGACCCUUCCUCCCACGUUGCCGUAGCCCGCGCCCCCGAAGCCGAACUCUCCGAAGCACCCCGUCCCGCAGACCCCGUUCACGUAGGAGAUCCUCCUGCUUGCCCCCAGGUUGCAGACGCUCCGGCUGCUGUAGGCGCCGCAGCGCGCGGGCGGGCAGGCGGAGGCGGCGAAGCUGCGCCCGCAGAUCUCCGAAGCCGAGCUGAAGCCUCUUCGUCCCAGGACGGACCGCACCGUGGGCGCCUGUCUGCUCAUCCUGGCUCCUCUGGAGGCGAAUCGGGAAGUUUGGGGAAGCUCUUCGGCAGGAGCAGGAGUGGAGGUGCCGCUGAAGUGACACGGCUUGGUUUGGGUGCGGAAAAUAACCAAAAGAAAAAAGGCGACUACGGAAAGCACCGUGGAAGUCGUGUUGUGAUGGAUGGAUCCUUAUGUACCUGAAACAUCAGCACAUUCACUGAGUUAUGGGUCUGGAUUCAUCUGCAAGGACUCAAAAUGCCCCCACAAACACUCCCGUGCAGCAUCUCACGCUGACCUCCGACCACCCCAAACAGCCGGUUGCACCCCAGAACCGCCGCACAGCUACGUUUUCUCACUCCAUUUUUGCUCUUUGCCGUCAGUGACAUUUCACUGGAGUAAUGCUGCAGAUUCUUCACCCGAAGUCCAGUUGACACCAUCAAAUCUGUGCCCCUCGGAGUUUCUACCCAGCUGAUGUUAGAGACUCUUGGAUCCAUCCCGGUAGCUCUGGAGGGAACAAGGAACAGUAGCACGUUGGGGCCGGUGAGAUCCGCCUCAUUCAGACAGCAGCAGCCGAACGGGGUGACUUUGCCAGGCACGUCCUUGACACUCGUGGGGCUGCAUCUCCAAGAGAAACAGCCCCUGGUGCCGCCGGAGGGAACGGGUGAUUCACCGGGCGCCCGCGCUCGUCCUCCUCCACCAGCAGGGGAAGCCUUAAUGAGCGGAUGAGACUGGACACCAGAUGGUUUGGACUCACGUUGGCCAGAUGAAGCCCAUCGCCAGCCCGAGGUGAGGACCUGCCACCCAUCUCCAGGCCUUCUCCAGCGGGCACUGGGAAAGGGAACAAUGGGGCUCUUGUGGCUCUUUGUGUUUGGGAGGAAAAAGGAGACGCUGGGGUGCAAACAGCUCGAUGUCCUGAGCCCUUCCUGAGCAAAGGGGAGUGAUGCUUGGAGAAGCCUGCGUGGUUUAUUAUACAUAGAGCUGUGGUACACGGAGACACUGUCAUCCCUCAUCCUCAUUAACCCCCUCCAAAAACAUCGUACAGGAGUUAGGGUCAAUGCAAACCAUAAAACCAGCACUAAACCUCCUUAAAACGUUAAACCUUCUAAUACCAAGUGCUUAAAAAGACGCGCACACCAACACCAUAGGACGUGACUCCGGCACCGAGCUUCGCCAGGCUAUUAAUUGAAGGCGUAAUUGCAGCGUGCGUGAGUUUGAGGGGCUGCUGGUAUGAAUUAGUUGUGUAAACUGGUACUUUUGCCCUGUACAGAUGGGAUAAUUCACCGUAUUUACAGCGUGACUCUCAGAUUACACCUUGUUUGUAGUAUUUGAGGCUGGCAGUUUACACCGGGUGCCGGAGCUGUUGCCAGUAUCAGGUAAAGCAAAUAUUAGAGGCUUCAAGCCAAAGCUCGUGAGUUCCGAGGAACAACGCGUGUUGUGCCUGUUGGUACCCACGGUGUCGGGAACCUGCGGUUUGCUGUGAGCGUGGAUGUGGGAAAUGGGGGAGCACGCUGAAAUAUCCCGUCUGUUUGAGUCAAGGAAAAGAAAAAGGGGAAGGACUGAGGAAGCAAAGAGGAAAAUAUUCUGAUGAGGGGCUGGAUGGAGCUGCGAUCGCUCCUUUGUCAGCGUUCUCCUCAAUGUGCUGCUGAAAAUAGCAUCCAUUAUAAACAUGUGAAGUUCCCUCAUUUGUUUGUUGCCGCUGGAGGUGAAUCCGAAGCAGCUCUUUCCAAGCGCGUUUCGUGCGAUAGUCCCGAGGAGGUUCCCUCUCUGUAAUUACCCGCAGCCGUAGGAAACUCGUUGCACUCGGAUGGGGCUACGGCAGGAACCCACCUGCGCUGGGACCAUUAGUAGCUGGAAAACCAGGCUGUAACAUGUAUUUUUACACACAGAGUUUCAUGGACGGUAUAGACUCUUGUCUCUGAGAUGUUAAAGACUUUGAUUAGUGCAGCCUUGUUUCCUGUAUCUACAGCCAAAGUUGUCCAAGGAACUCAAUCUGGUGUUUUUCUCCUCUGCUCUGUGUGACGGGAUUUUCAAAGGAUGUUCCUGGUCAAACACCGGGCCCGGGUGCACCUUCCUCCCAGCUCCAGCCACCAAACCGCCGAGGAUCCUAAUUCCAGCUCUGGAGCGGGCUGGGCGGGAGAUCGGCAUCUCCAGACGGUGACUCACCGCGCCCACACGGGCGGAAUCCGGCUCCGGAGGGACCUUCUCGCUCCUGCCGGACGGCACAGCCCGUCUAGACAGACAGACAGACACCCGGCCGGGCGCCCCGGCCACUCCGAACCUGGGCUGGAAUGGGUCCCGCCCUUUGGGCGCCAAAUUUCUGCAGCGCCUUUGAAGUCCUAAUGAGAGCGCUCAGCAUCACGCGCGGCCCCUCGCCAGGCGCACAUCCUAUCUCCUGCUAAACCCGGCUUUGCGGCAAAGCCGAGGGUCGCGUUCGUCCUUCUCGUGCCGGUGCCUUCCUCCCGUGGCGGGAAUGAAGGUGGGAAUCCUGGUGGGACGGUGAAGCAAAAAGAGCAGAAAGGGACAGAUAAAGAUGUGGCAGCGGCGAUGAGGUGGCAGCCACGUCUCCGUGAAGCCCCAGGCAGGGGUGGGGUUUGGGCAGAGCUGGUUUUCCGAGCCACGCCGAGGAGCCGCCCCUGCAAAGUCAACAUUCAAAGGGAAGCUCUCGCUGAACUAACGUAUCAGCCCCUGCAGUGUGAGGAAGCGGCACCAGCUCUGGAUCAUUGCCCCGAUUUACCCUUUUCCUGCCUAAAAACUGAUGGGUUUGUCUAUUUUCAGUGGGAACUCCGUAACCUUUACGAGAUACGUGAACCCCUCUGAAUGGAUAUUUAUGGCUCCUCAAUUGUUCUUUUCUUGUCAAACCUUUCUCGUGGUUUUUCCAUUAAAGAUCGUGGCUGUUUA